rnacentral:rRNA from 1 species
CCAGACUCCUACGGGAGGCAGCAGUGGGGGAUAUUGCACAAUGGGGGAAACCCUGAUGCAGCGACGCCGCGUGGGUGAAGGAGCGUUUCGGCGCGUAAAGCCCUAUCGGCAGGGAAGAAGGAGGACGGUACCUGACUAAGAAGCCCCGGCUAACUACGUGCCAGCAGCCGCGGUAAUACGUAGGGGGCAAGCGUUAUCCGGAUUUACUGGGUGUAAAGGGGGCGCAGACGGCAGCGCAAGCCAGGAGUGAAAGCCCGGGGCUCAACCCCGGGACUGCAUUUGAAACUGUCAGGCCGGAGUGCAGGAGAGGUAAGUGGAAUUCCUAGUGUAGCGGUGAAAUGCGUAGAUAUUAGGAGGAACACCAGUGGCGAAGGCGGCUUACUGGACUGUAACUGACGUUGAGGCUCGAAAGCGUGGGGAGCAAACAGGAUUAGAUACCCUAGUAAAC